GGGCGAUUAGCUCAGGUGGCUAGAGCGCACCCCUGAUAAGGGUGAGGUCGGUGGUUCGAGUCCAGCAUUGCCCAC
rnacentral:tRNA from 1 species